rnacentral:rRNA from 1 species
AACGAACGCUGGCGGCAGGCUUAACACAUGCAAGUCGAACGAAGUCUUCGGACUUAGUGGCGCACGGGUGAGUAACACGUGGGAAUAUACCUCUUGGUGGGGGAUAACGUCGGGAAACUGACGCUAAUACCGCAUACGCCCUUCGGGGGAAAGAUUUAUCGCCGAGAGAUUAGCCCGCGUCCGAUUAGCUAGUUGGUGAGGUAACGGCUCACCAAGGCAACGAUCGGUAGCUGGUCUGAGAGGAUGAUCAGCCACACUGGGACUGAGACACGGCCCAGACUCCUACGGGAGGCAGCAGUGGGGAAUAUUGGACAAUGGGCGCAAGCCUGAUCCAGCCAUGCCGCGUGAGUGAUGAAGGCCUUAGGGUUGUAAAGCUCUUUCGGGUGGGACGAUGAUGACGGUACCACCAGAAGAAGCCCCGGCUAACUUCGUGCCAGCCGCCGCAGUAA